ncrna:unclassified sequences dinG RNA
AAUGAUACUCCUGCGUUCGGCGCAGCUCGCAAUUGUGUAGGCGAGAUAUAGGGUUUCCGACUGGAAUUUAUGUCGGGUAACUUAUAU